rnacentral:rRNA from 1 species
CGUCUAUAUACGUAUAGCAUAUCAAUAAGCGGAGGAAAAGAAACUAACAAGGAUUCCCUUAGUAACGGCGAGUGAAGCGGGAAGAGCUCAAAUUUGAAAUCUUCAAGGUUUUACCUUGACGAAUUGUAGUUUAAAGAAGUGUUUUCUGUUGGAGUUUUGGUAAAAGUUCUUUGGAAUAGGACAUCAUAGAGGGUGAGAAUCCCGUAUUUGACCAUUAUUUCCAGCUUUGUGAUACACUUUCAAAGAGUCGGAUUGUUUGGGAAUGCAGUCCAAAAUGGGUGGUAAAUUUCAUCUAAAGCUAAAUAUUGGCGAGAGACCGAUAGCGAACAAGUACCGUGAGGGAAAGAUGAAAAGAACUUUGAAAAGAGAGUUAAACAGUACGUGAAAUUGUCAAAAGGGAAGCGUUUGACACCAGUGUUGUUUUCUCGAAAAUCAAUUAAAAAUGACCGGAUUUUGUGUUGUAUUGACUUUAUCAGCUUUCUGCACUUUUUUCUUGUCUUUUUUAAUGCACUUUUCGUUUAACAAGUCAACAUCAAUUUCUUUUGUUGUAAAAGAGUCAUUGGAAGGUGGCUUUCAUUUCAGGAGAAAGUGUUUAUAGCCUUUGACUUCUGCAAUCGGAGAGAUUGAGGUCUGCAGCGUAGAUCCUUCGGGGUUAGAUAGCAUUUGUGCUAAGUUAUAGCUUUUCAUAGACAACUUGUUGACUAUGAUUAAGUCAUUGUAGCUUACUCGCUUAUGCUAUUUACCUACGCUUAGGAUGUUGAUAUGCAUGACUGAUAU